rnacentral:rRNA from 1 species
UGCACCUGGUGGCGAGUGGCGAACGGGUGAGUAAUACAUCGGAACAUGUCCUGUAGUGGGGGAUAGCCCGGCGAAAGCCGGAUUAAUACCGCAUACGAUCCACGGAUGAAAGCGGGGGACCUUCGGGCCUCGCGCUAUAGGGUUGGCCGAUGGCUGAUUAGCUAGUUGGUGGGGUAAAGGCCUACCAAGGCGACGAUCAGUAGCUGGUCUGAGAGGACGACCAGCCACACUGGGACUGAGACACGGCCCAGACUCCUACGGGAGGCAGCAGUGGGGAAUUUUGGACAAUGGGCGAAAGCCUGAUCCAGCAAUGCCGCGUGUGUGAAGAAGGCCUUCGGGUUGUAAAGCACUUUUGUCCGGAAAGAAAUCCCUGGCUCUAAUACAGUCGGGGGAUGACGGUACCGGAAGAAUAAGCACCGGCUAACUACGUGCCAGCAGCCGCGGUAAUACGUAGGGUGCGAGCGUUAAUCGGAAUUACUGGGCGUAAAGCGUGCGCAGGCGGUCUGUUAAGACAGAUGUGAAAUCCCCGGGCUCAACCUGGGAACUGCAUUUGUGACUGGCAGGCUAGAGUAUGGCAGAGGGGGGUAGAAUUCCACGUGUAGCAGUGAAAUGCGUAGAGAUGUGGAGGAAUACCGAUGGCGAAGGCAGCCCCCUGGGCCAAUACUGACGCUCAUGCACGAAAGCGUGGGGAGCAAACAGGAUUGGAUACCCUGGUAGUCCACGCCCUAAACGAUGUCAACUAGUUGUUGGGGAUUCAUUUCCUUAGUAACGUAGCUAACGCGUGAAGUUGACCGCCUGGG